UCUGGUUUGGACCCUAUUCCACCAAACACCAAAAAUCGGGUCCAACACCAAACACGACCAAAAUCUGCCUCCAUGAAUCCUCUCUCCACGCAUCUUCAUCGCCGUAUCCAUACAAACGAAACAAUACGUGUAACACAUGAACCAAGCUCCGAACAUGGAUUCUCUUCACUCAGUAGCGUGCGACUUCCAGGAAAACAUGGAGCUAUCAACUGCGGCAUGAGGAAUCGUUUCGAUUGCGCACAAACAAACUAAGCAAUCAACGAAGAUGAACGAAAGAAAUGAAUAAUGAAUCUGACCCGAGUUCAAACUCCUCACCAAAUUGAACUCUGAACCAAAACGACCUUCUUUUUGUGCGUGAGAAAGGGGACGAGAUUAAUGAUUGAAAAAAAAGCAAAAAGGCUUACCAAAGCGGAGUUCUUGACACGAUGAUUGCAGGGUGGAUGCACACAUGAAGAUGGAUUGAAGAGUGGAAUCAGAAGGUGGUUUGGAUUUGCUUUGUCCUGGAGAAAUGUUGAUCAAAUGGAAUGCUAUGGAUUGCUAUAGAAUCAUAGUAGAAAUGGAUUUGUUGUAAUUGAAAUUGUUACAUGGAACUUGGAUUGAAGGUUGUAAUGUUUUGUAGUUUUGGAAUUGAAACAUGUUAAAAUGAAUGAUUGAAUAAAAAUGCUUAGAAAUUGAAUGUGAUUGGAAUUGAGAUUGAA